rnacentral:snRNA from 1 species
GUGCUCGCUUCGGCAGCACAUAUACUAAAAUUGGAACGAUACAGAAAAGAUUAGCAUGGCCCCUGUGCAAGGAUGACACACAAAUUCGUGAAGCGUUCCAUAAAAAA